AAUUGUCUCUAUUUUUAUCCAAAUCGAUCAGGCAAAACAUGGCGGCGCCCAUCAAAUUGUUAUUUUUUUGACAUUUUUCAAGUUUUAUUAAGGAAGUUAAUAAAAUUAACAGUAUAGUAUAGAUUACCUUGGAUACGAUUUUUGUUCGUACCAUUAUGAUGGUAUUUGUCUAGAAGAAGGAAGCGAACACCGCACCAGAAUCAAGGUGAACUAUGAAACACAUAUUGAAAAUAUGUUUAGCAAUGGUUGCAAUAGCUGCAGUUGUAUUAUUUUUCACUUCUUGGGAGAAUAGAUCAUUAAAAGAUCAUAUACAGUAUGCGUUCAACAGAGAUGAAACGAAAAGCAUAAAUUUGACAGGACAAGUGACCAACACUCCUGUUGUAAAGCUUUGUCGUCGAGAUGAUCUCUAUACAUAUUCAGCAGUAGCCAAGCCGAGUGCUGAUUGGACAAAGUACACUUCGAUCAUCAUAACAUCAUGGUGUAAAGGAAAGACACAGUUCAACUGCUUUUUAUAUUCUUCAAAUAAAAAUGUUGAGACGGUUAAAGCUACUUUAAGCAGAAAACGGUCGAAUCACGGGCGACCAAGUAUGGCUGCUUGUCAAUAUACAUGCAAGUUGGAUAAUGCAUACCACCAAAUCAAGGGCUACCUCACUCAAGUCGGUCUUAGUCCGCUAAAUGAUAUCCACAAGGACUCUUGUCCACAAAUAAACAAAGUAAUAUAUCCAACGAGACAGGCUGGUAAGAUGGCUAUAUGUUCUAAAAUGGCCUAUGGCACUGAGAAACCAAUUAAACUAAUUGAAUGGUUUGAGUACAAUCGUCUAAUGGGCGUAGAUCGCAUCAUAACCAUGGUUCAGUUGAUAAAUAGAGACGCAUAUAAAGUGCUUAAAUACUACAACAAAACUGGAUUGUUAGACAUGGACACGUUUCCUUCUCCGUUGCCAGGAAUAGACAUAAAUAAAAAUGCCAAUUGCGAGAUAAAAGAUAGAACUUCAUGUUUUAAAGACUUCAGCGAUGAGGAGCUAAAAGAUCUACCAUGGAGACAUUUUCGACGAUCUUCGCCCCAAGGUGAACAUGACCAAAUGCUAGCCUUAGAUCAUUGCCAGGAAAAACUACAAGGAUAUGAUUUUGUUGGGAAUGUAGAUUUUGACGAAUUCAUAGUACAGUCCAACCUACGAAGUAUAAAGGACUAUUUCAAUGAUACAAUACUGCCAAAGUUUUAAAACUUUUCAUCUAAUUCAGGAUCCAAUACUGCCAAAGUAUUCAAAGGUUUCAUCUAAUUUCAGGAUACAAUACUGCCAAAGUAUUCAAACGCUGCUGGAUUUACCUUGAAUCAUUCAUACUUUCUGGCAAACUGGGGAAUUUCUGGAGAUGGAUUUCUACAAAUGACACAAUAUACACAGAGAGUUAAUCCUCGUUAUGUUAAUUAUAAAAAUGUUUACAUUCCUAGUAGGACGGCAAGUACAACCACGCAUGAACUUACUCCAAAAUCCGGAUUUAGAAGAGUAUAUUUAAAAAGUCAUCAUAUAGUAGUGCAUCACUAUAGAACGUGCCCACCUGUUGCAUAUUGGAGGAACUGUAUGAACUUUACUAGAUACGAAGAUAAAAAAAUGUUACAAAUAAGAAAAGUAAUGGAAGAAAGAGCAUUAAAUGUUAAAAGAGAACUUGGGCUGACAUGAAUAAUUAUAUUUUUAAUUGCAUGCGGUGUUGGUGCUUUCCUUUUAAAGAAAAGAAAACAGUAACUCAAAACAAAUCGAAGUUGGUAUUUUAAAAAUAUCUCACAAAUGAUGUUCAUAUAUUUCUUUUGAAAAUAUCUAAUAUUUGACCUUUUUCAUUAGUUCAUGAGUUCAUAUUUUCAUCUGUGUUAUUAAGGCUUGCACAUUCCAGUUUGGUUUGCUGUAUUAUGUGAUUAACAGUGCAUCAAUUGCACAACAGAUUUCUUGAAGAAUUAUCGACAAAGAUAACACAAAAAAUAUUUGACCGAUUACCAUGCCACAUGUGGAGCAGGAUCUGCUUACCCUUCCGGAGCACCUGCAGAUCACCCUUACUUUUUGGUUGGGUUCGUGUUUCUCAGUCAUUAGUUUUCUAUGUUGUGAUUUGUGUACUGUUAUUUGUCUGUUUGUCUUUUUUUCUUUUUUAGCCAUGGCGGUGUCAGUUUAUUUCUGACAUGAGUUUGAAUGUUCCUUUGGUAUCUUUCGCCUCUCUUUUAGUAUACAGUGCGUUAUGAAAAGGCACGUCGUUGUUUAAAACGUAUUUCAUGACCUGUGUAUUAGUUUUUUCAUACACAGGUUUUCGCCAUUGCAUGAUGUCUUGAAAUACUCAUUUUAUAUAUUCUUUUAAUUCUAUAUUACCUGACUUUUUUAUUUUAUGUAUAUGUACGUUGUCACUGAUGGCAUUUACUUUAGUGACACAGGAUUUAAAAAUAAAUAUAUGUGUUGUUCAGUCUAAAA